rnacentral:rRNA from 1 species
AUUGAACGCUGGCGGCAGGCUUAACACAUGCAAGUCGAGCGGAGAGAAGUAGCUUGCUACUGAUCUUAGCGGCGGACGGGUGAGUAAUGCUUAGGAAUCUGCCUAUUAGUGGGGGACAACAUUUCGAAAGGAAUGCUAAUACCGCAUACGUCCUACGGGUGAAAGCAGGGGAUCUUCGGACCUUGCGCUAAUAGAUGAGCCUAAGUCGGAUUAGCUAGUUGGUGGGGUAAAGGCCUACCAAGGCGACGAUCUGCAGCGGGUCUGAGAGGAUGAUCCGCCACACUGGGACUGAGACACGGCCCAGACGCCUACGGGAGGCAGCAGUGGGGAAUAUUGGACAAUGGGCGGAAGCCUGAUCCAGCCAUGCCGCGUGUGUGAAGAAGGCCUUAUGGUUGUAAAGCACUUUAAGCGUGGAGGAGGCUACUUUAGUUAAUACCUAGAGAUAGUGGACGUUACUCGCAGAAUAAGCACCGGCUAACUCUGUGCCAGCCGCCGCCGUAAGAC